GAUGAACGCUGGCGGCGUGCCUAAUACAUGCAAGUCGAGCGAACAGACGAGGAGCUUGCUCCUCUGACGUUAGCGGCGGACGGGUGAGUAACACGUGGAUAACCUACCUAUAAGACUGGGAUAACUUCGGGAAACCGGAGCUAAUACCGGAUAAUAUAUUGAACCGCAUGGUUCAAUAGUGAAAGACGGUUUUGCGGUCACUUAUAGAUGGAUCCGCGCCGCAUUAGCUAGUUGGUAAGGUAACGGCUUACCAAGGCAACGAUGCGUAGCCGAACUGAGAGGGUGAUCGGCCACACUGGAGCUGAGACACGGUCCAGACUCCUACGGGAGGCAGCAGUAGGGAAUCUUCCGCAAUGGGCGAAAGCCUGACGGAGCAACGCCGCGUGAGUGAUGAAGGUCUUCGGAUCGUAAAGCUCUGUUAUUAGGGAAGAACAAAUGUGUAAGUAACUAUGCACGUCUUGACGGUACCUAAUCAGAAAGCCACGGCUAACUACGUG
rnacentral:rRNA from 1 species